UACAGAGGUCCCAAGCGUUGUUCGGAUUCACUGGGCGUAAAGGGUGCGUAGGCGGUCGGGUAAGUCUGAUAUGAAAUCUCACAGCUUAACUGUGAAACUGCAUUGGAUACUAUCCGGCUAGAGGAAUGGAGGGGAGACUGGAAUACUUGGUGUAGCAGUGAAAUGCGUAGAUAUCAAGUGGAACACCAGUGGCGAAGGCGAGUCUCUGGACAUUUCCUGACGCUGAGGCACGAAAGCCAGGGGAGCAAACGGG
rnacentral:rRNA from 1 species